rnacentral:lncRNA from 1 species
GUGAACCUUAACUAGCUGUUGGCAGAAAAAUGAAGACCAAAACUCAGCCCAGAAGAAAAUGGAAUUAUGGGGAAAACAACAUGGAAAAUGGUAAGGAAUGCUAUUUGACAUUAUUUCGAUGAAAGUUUAGCAAGAAGCUGAAUUAACAGGCCACAAAAUCAGUGAGAAAAGAUAUGCAGAAGCAGAGACUGGCCAGACAGUGUUGAGAAGGAAAGGAGUCUCCUGUCUACCCUGAACAGCUGGAGCCCAGCCCCUCAGGUGGAAUGGGAGGAGGUGUGGGCUGGCAGGAGAACUGAGCCCUUGGUAACUGUGUUCUUGAGUUCUGCUGUAGGGAGCAAGAUGUGGAGGCUUCAGACAAUAUUGAUUGGGGCUCCAUUCCACUGCUUUUGGUUGGAACUGCUGUCAACUCCAAAGUUAUACGGGACCUUACUCAAGUUUUGCUCUGCAUUUGAGAGGAAGAAGGCAGAGGACAUCUAUUUCUAUAUGUGCUAUACAAGAUAAUUGGAUUUUUUUCAUUGAAUUCUCACAACAACUUCACAAAUUAGGUAAUAUAGUCUCAUUUUAUAGGUAAGAAACCUGAGGCUUAGAAUGAAGCUUAUUCAUGGCCAAAAAGAGAGGAGGGAUUAAAACCCAGCGCUAUUGCCAUGACCCCAGGCUGAAUCCCAAGGAAUCCCACCAUCUCCUGGGAAUAAAUGAUUCAUGCUUUUUCUUCCUAGAGUUGCUAUGGAAUGGGAAGAGAAUGUGCUCAUGGACACCUCCCACUCAGUGUCUGGAGCACAGUCCACACUCAGUAGUGAGCACUCAGUAUAAGAGGAAAGAGGUCCCUUCUCACCGAUUUUCUCUGGACUCUCAGAAAUGAUACAGAGCUUAAGAAUGGGCCUUGCUCUUUUGUUUACCAGGUAAGUGACAUCCUCCCACCCAAAGAGGAACCUUUUAGGAGUCCUGGUGGGAGGAAGCAGACCAGGUGGUAGGGGACCCUGAAUAACCUGCCUCAGAGAUCUCUAAUCCAAGACUGGUUAGUUUUCCUUUCUGGGUGGGAAGAGGAGGCAAAUCUUUCUAGUUACAAUUCCGAGUUGGAUAAAGGGAUUUCCAGGCUCAAAGUGUAAAUCAGGGUGGAAUUUAUUUCCACAGAGAGCUGAGGUGACUCCUGUAAAGCAAAUCCAUGAGUUUCCUGGGCCCAUCCCCAACAAGUCACUCAUGAGCCCUGAAGAAACUGAUUGAUUAAUAAACCUUAAGGAGGCUGCAGGUCAAGAGCAUCAGUGUUCUCCUAUCAGGACUGGCUUUAUUUUUAAUGUCACAAAUAAAUUGUUUCAAGCUCAGAUAGGGAAACUGAGGCUGAGAGGCAACCAGGGACAAAGUAAUUCCAUAACUAAGAGCACCAAGCUCUCUGGGCCUGAGGAUACAGAAAACCUGUCCUUGUUACAACACAAGAUCCACUAAGAAGCUUGCAGUAGCAUUUUAAUUUUGUGGUUAAAAAAAAAAAAAAAACCUGAGUAAUUAAGUCACUUGCCUAUUUUUCAUUUUCUGCUAGCAACUCCACAAAAACUACUAAGAACAAAGACUCUAGGGCCUAGGCCAAGCUACUAGAUUCAGAAGAUGCUGCAGUGGUUUUGAGAUUCUAAUCACCACAGAUGACAGUUGAUGUGAACAGAAUCAGCUUCUUUAUUUCCCUCCCUGAGGAAGCAAAAGUCUUAAAACAGAUUAAAAUGGAGAAUAACAGCAAAGUUUUUAAAAGAGCUAAUAUGAACUGCUAGCUUCUCCUCUGACAACCUCACCACCACCACUGACAUCAGCCCCUAGGCCUAGGAAAGGAAGGAAAUAAGAAGAACUUCCCACAAAGCCCCUGAGGAGAGGUGAGGGUGGCAGGCUCCCCUCCAGCUGGGGUUCCUUCUGCAGCAGACCUCAGGGCAUGUCUGCCAGUCAGUCACGGGGAGAAAGGAAAUACCCCGCGGGCAGGGCACAGUCAGGAGGGAGGGUCAGAAGCCAAUUCUCAGCUUCCUGCAGAGUUAAGUUUUGUAAUGACACAGAUUGGUGAGUUUCCACUAACCCAGCACAGUAUGAAGAUGGUAGCUGGGACUAGGGAGGACUUGUCAGUCCCAGGAGGACAUUUGGAGGAGAGGAAAGAAGAAUCUUCUGGGUUUCAACCCCAAUCUCUUACUCUGUGGCCUUGGAUGAGAUAUAUCCUAGUUCUGAGCCUCAGUUUCUUAUUAGUAAAAUGGGGAUAUCAUUACCUAAUUCAUAAAGUUAUGAGAAUUAAGUGAAAGAAAAGUCUUCAAGAUCCUUGCAAAGAACAGGUGAUUAAUAAAUGGGAAUGAGUGUGAAACCACCUUCCUGGAAUGAGGGGCCAGUGGCUGCCUGUGAAAUAGCAGGGUACUUCCGAAAAUGCCUGGCUUCAAGCAAUACCCAUUCUAGCAGGGAGCACCCCCAGAGAUGUGAACUCAAUGGUGCCAAGAAGCACAUGGAGCCACAGAGAAGGAUGCCUUCCCCACCACUGGCAUGCAGACAACCAUAAAAAGAGACUUCUCUGUCACUGGAAGCCACCAAGGAAAUUAGGGGUACAAUGAUAAGAAAAUCAUGUUCAAUUAUAAAAUAUAUCCCAUUUUGUAGCCCUUUGUAUCUGUCUUCUAUUGCUGCUAGAGCAAAUUGCCAUAAUAGAUUAAUUGUCUUUUAGUCCUGUGGGCUACAAGCCCCUUGGGCCCCAUAGGACUGAAGUCCAGGUGUCAGCAGGGCUGUGUUCCUUAGUGGAGCCUCUAGUGGAAAAUCCAUUGCUCUGCUUAUUCAGGUGUUGGCAGUUCCAUGGGACUGAAGGACUGAGGUCCCUGUUUCCUUGCUGGCUGCUAGCUAGAGCCACCACUAGUUCCUAGACAACCCUGGUCCUUGCAUGGAACCCCCUGUAUUUCUGCAACAGGUCAUCAAACCUUCCUCUUACCACCAUCUUUUUGACCCUUCUUCCAUUAUCACAUUUCUCUCUCUAACUACAACCAAGGAAGUUUGUCUGCUUUUACAAAUUAGACUGAGCCUACCCAGCUAACCCAGGAUGAUCUCCCAUCUCAAAAUCCUCAAGGUUAAUCACACUGGCAAAAUCCCUGUUACCUUGUAAGAUGCUGUGGUUUUGAAAUGAGGUGUUCCUCACAGUUCCUGUUAAUGCAAUAAUAUUCAGAGGAGAAAUGCUUGGAUUGGGAAAGCUGUAACCUGAUCAGUCCAUCGUAGUUUAAAUGGGCUUGAUUGGGUGGUGUGGGACCUGACUAGAACAGGUAGAUCACUGGGGGCAUGGCCUGGAAGGGUUCAUCUUCCCUGUGGCCCCUUCCCCCUCUCUCUAUCUGCUUCCUGGAUGCUGUGAGAGGAACAGCUUCCCUCUGCCCUGCCCUUCCUAUAUGAUGUGCUGCCUCACCUUGGGUCCAGAGCCAUGGAGUCAGCCAUCUAUGGGUUGAGACUUCUGAAACCAUGAGCCCAAAAUGAACCUACCAUCAUCUAAGUUAUCAUUUUCAAGUAUUUUGGUCACAAUGACGCAAAGCUGACUAAAACACGAGGUAGUACAUUCACAGGUUCUGAGAAUUAGGAUGCAUAUGUCUUUGGGAGGUCAUUUUUCUGUCUACCACAUCAUUGUACAUUCAAAUAUUUAUUUAGUACCUUUACAUGCCAGGUACAGUGCUAGAUGCUGACAUAAGAUGUCAGUACCAGUAGUAUGGGGCGGGGUAAGAAGACUGGGGUAGGGGUGCCACACACUGGGACUUCUGACUUGGAGUUCUUUUGUAGUACUCUAGGGGUUCCACUUACAUGAAGAUUGUAACAUGCCCCACCUCCUAACACCCAGGAAUCCCCGCCUCCUCACUGACUUAUGCUGGUCUGGAAUUGCUGGAGGUCUCUAGAUAAGGUCAUUCCAGUUUUCUGGGAAGUAGGAACUAAGCUUACUGGGGAACUAAGACAAGGAUCAUGCUAGAUUCAGGUCCAGACUUAACAGAAAAAACAAGAACAGGUGGGAUCUGCGGCAUCCAGAGAGCCCCCUGGGAAUAGUGCUGCUCCUGCCCUUUACCCUUUUCCCUCAGAGAACAGGAGAGGGAAAUGCCCAAGUCCUCUCAGGCCACUUAUAACUACAUGUCAUAAAAGAGAGAUGGGGAAAGACAUUUAAAAAGGUUGGUUUCUCACUAACUGAAGCCCCUUCCGGUGGAGGCUCCCUGGCCUAUAUUUUGCAGCUCCAGGGCUCAUGGGAGCCACCAGCUUGCUUCUUUUUUCUUUUUUUUUUUUUUUUCUCAACCACAAGGAUGGUGAGUCAGCACAGUGGUUAGUUCUCUGCUGAGAGGCCUCAGCCCUCAGCAGAGCUCUAGGUGGAGCAGCCUCCAGCCCAGCCAGGCCCAGGGUCCUGCCCUGGCAUUCCAUGCAGUCCUGGGCCUCCAAGAUUGGCUGGCACCCUACACUAAGCAGCUACUUAUCUUGCUGAAUACAGUGCUACCAAAGCCAUGGCAGGAGAGGUGAAGGAUAAAUAAGAAAAGGAGUCAUCAGCCCAGUCUGACAAGCACCAGUUAGCAUUUGGUCAACAGCAACUUGGGCUCUUUGCUCAGGUCAAACUUGAAAUCCGAGGGAAUUGGCAAAGUGCUAUCCCUUCCUCUGGUCUGGAAUCUAUAUCUAGAAGCCAAGCCCUGACUCCUGAGAUCCAGGUAAAGUCCACAUCCCAGCAUCAGAUUCUGCCCUGACAGACUUCAGAGUCCCUUGCAGCUUCCAGGAAGGGUAUUCAGUACCCUCUCGGUUAAAAGUAUUCUCACUACAAACACCAGAACGCCAGCUAUGUUGUCACUUCUGCUCCUACCACAUAAAACUGGCUGGCAAAGAAAGCUUUUAGGGAGCGAUUUCCCCCCAAAUAUGUAGCAUUUUAAAAAACCUCUCCUAUACCCUUCUUCAGAGUUAAAUUGCUAACAGCAGUCCUGAGUGACACCUAACAAGUCGGCAGUAAAAAGGAAACUCAUCAGCAAUUAUAAGCUCUAACUAACAGCAUGUGGCUUGGAAAACAAGUCUUCCUUUAAAUCCACACCCCAUCUCUGGAUUAUCUUGUCUAGAGGUCUUACAGGGUAUGCCUCAGUGUUCUGUUAAGGACACUGGCUUCCAGAUAUGGAAACAGGGGGUUUUCCUCUCUAAUCUUUCCCUAAUACGCACCAUUACAAUGAUUAGGACUCUAACACAUUAUGAAAUAUGUCUCUAAUCACAUGCAAACUUUGGCUUUAGUGAUGGAAGACUACAGAGAAUCAUGGUGGUGGUGGUAGUGGUGAUGAUGAUGAUGAUAAUGAUAAGGAAAGUACAAGAUUAUUUGACUCUCCUCAGCCUCAGAUUGUUGAUUACAGGUAGAUGUGGCUACUAAUCACAAAAUUACAUAAUUUCCCUUUUAUUCCUAAUGUAUGUUCAUAAAACUUCCUGGAAAGGACUUUAUUCCUCCUUCAAAUGUCCAACACACAGUCUUCUUUACAUUUUCCUACCAAGCUCCUAGGAUUCAGCCCACUGAAUUCACAUUCAACCCUAGAAACAAGGUAUAAGCUAUUACUUCAAAGGAAUUGCAAUCCCCCAACUCAGAAAGUGUUCCCUUUUUGCACCCCCUCAAAACUGUCUAUAUCAUUUUAAUCGCCCAACUUUUGGGAAGUAGGGGCAAACUCUAUAUUUCUUUUCACUGGGAUUAGCCCAGAUCGUAGACCCUGUCUUUUUCCUAGGCAUAUGGCUGAGUCACUCUGAGCACAGAAAAUCGAUAGCACAAAUGAUCACAGGUUGUAGAACCUCAGCUCAGGAGAGAGAUCACUGGUCGAGAAAGCUUGUGAUAUGCACUGUCCAGAAAUCACAGAACACGUAGCCCUACUCAGUAUUAAUAAUGAGUGUAAGACAGCUCUUACAGAGUAGGGGGAAAGUUCUAUGUUCUGCCAUGGAGAUACAGAAACACAUAAAAUAUUUCAUUAAUCAGAAUUAUAAUGAGACAGAACCAGGGUGGCUUUAAAAUGGAUGUCCCUGUUGAGAUAAGAUCCUCUCAGGCAGGCAGGCAGGUGGAUUUAGGCAGUGCUAUCACCAGGGGAGCCUCAUGUGCUUCUGGAAGACAAGGCUCCUGAAAUAGAGAAUUCAGGAACUUUCUUAACUGUCACACUAACUUUUAGGAACCCUUAGUAUGGAUGUCUGGUCAUGUCUCAGGAUUGGCCUAAAUUCCACAUGUGUCCUUAGAAUGAGCUCUGCUCCGCCCACUACCCUUCUCACUGUUCCUCCAAUACCCCAAGUUUGUGCCUCCUUCAGAGGCCAUGCCUGAUGUCCCUUUGUCUGGAACAUUCUUCCCUAGCUUCUUGGUAUCUGGGCCCCUCUUGCUGCUUAGGCCUUCCUUCCUUUCUUGUUUUCUUAUCACUGACAUUUUCAUAGAUGGUUUUGUUUACUGUUUAUUGUCUUAUGUCACUUUAUACAAGUGUGAGCUCCAUGGAAAUAGAGGCCUUGUCAACCUUGUUCACUGCUGUGUUCCCAGGGCUCAGAUGCUGCCUGGCACAAGCUGGCAGUCAAUAAACACUUGUUGAAGGAACCUGGGAAGACACAUUCCAAUGUCUAUGUUGGAUGGGCUGGGAAUCCCCAUAUAGGAUCAGACCUGAGGGAGAGAUUAAAAUAAAUGGCUUCUGGAGGUAAUCCCAAGUAGAUGUGAAUUCUGGUGGAGAAGGCAGGAUUGGGCAGCUGGGCUCAAGCGUCUGGCAGAAAGGUUAUUCAAGGUCAAGCUGUGUUACAUCAUUCCCAUCUCCACCUGGGGAAGAAGAGAGCUAAAGUGAAAUUAGGCCCCUGAAAGCCUGUGACAGAAAUCUUGGGGACAGAUCUUCUAUCCAGAGGGCUUCCAUGAAGACCCAUCUCUGGGAACCACAACACCAGAUGCUAAACUCCUACAUUUCCAGAAAACCUUGCCCCAAGAGUGAGCUUUAGGGAGUACAGUACAGUGAGCCAGAAAAUCGGCCUGGAUCUCAUCGCUGCUGCAUAGUGAGCUGUAAAGUGAACUAGAAACAAAGGGAGAGAGGUUUAUUUUUUAUCUUAGGUGUGUCAUAUAUAUCUAUCUACACACACACACACACACACGUCUCUGUGCAUAUAUAUGUCUAUCUAUGUAUAUACACAAUGUACAGUAUGAUUUUUUUUAUAUUUAUAUACAUAGUGAAAUAAUUACCACAAUCAAGUCAAUUAACACAUCCAUCAUAUCACAGUCAUCUCUUUUCUUGUGACAGAGGUGCCUAAAAUCUACUCUUUUAGCACAUUUUCAUUACAUAAUACCAUAUUAUUAACCUCAUGCUGUACAUGAGAUCUCUAGACUUAUUCAUCCUAUAGAGCUUCAACUUUGUACCUUUGACCUACAUCUCCUUAUCGUUUCUCUGGUAUCCACCAUCCUACUUCCCAAGUUUUGACUCUUUUUUAGAUUCCAUAUAUAUAAGAGAAAUCAUACAGUUUUUUUCCCCAAUGUAUGGCUUAUUUCACUUAGCAAUUCCUACACAUUGACCGAUGUUGUCGAGAAUGGUAGGAUUUUCUUCUUUUAAGGCUGAAUAAUAUUCCAUUGUGUGUAGAAUUGGAUCACAUUUUCUUUAUCCCAUCAUCCAUCAAUGGGCGCUUAGGUUGUUUCUAAACCUUGGAUCUUGUGAACAAUGCUGUUUUAGAGGCUUAGGAAAGUGAUCCCUUCCUAACACCAACAAGCCCUUAUGCCUUAUCCUAAGUCAUGGAGUGGGAGACAUAAGAAAAAGAAGGAAAGACAAAAUGCCCUCUUUUUGGAUCUAAGAAGUAGGUUAGAUUAAAUUCUUCCCCCUGCCCCAUGACAGUUGUCAGAGCUAUAGCCCCUGCAGGCAUGCCUUGCAAGAAAUAUUUUAUAAUUCAUGUUUUCCAGAUGAAACACUAAAGACUCAAAUUGUAAUUGGUGAGUAGUAGAUAAUGUGGUUGUCUGAGUGCCAAAUUGCCAUCCCAACUCAACCUCCUCCCUGUGUCAGAGACCUGAGUCUUAAAGGUAUGGAGUGGGCCGUGCUGGGGGGUGGGGGAGGCUGACCUCUUCUCCUACUCAUGUAAGAUAGUCUUAGUUGGAUGAAGCCAGUUAGUUCCACCUGAGAGUGAGUUUGGGCUCAGUGGUUUUACAAAGCACCCUGGUGAUUCUAAGGCACAGCCAGGGCUGGGGAUCACUAACUACUCAUGACAAUUUCCAUUGUUAACAGCAUGGAAGGAGAGUGUUCCUGGGGCUUCUGAGAAAGCUGAAUUUCUUCUUUCUAUUUUCUAUUUUUCUUUUAAAAAAUAGAUAUAUUGUGUUGAUAAAACAGUCUAUGCUGCCCCUGGAUGGGAUGCCUGGAACCAUGGGCCCUAUUUUGAGAACAAAAGCCACUAAGGUUUGCGGAGAAAAAGAAGGGAAAAGACAUGGAUACUUAACAUGUUACUGAGCAACUGAAUUACCCCACCCCAGAACUGCCUUCUCCCUGGCCUUGCUGUUAAGUGAAUCACUGAAGGUUGAUUUAGCCGUUACUUGAAGCUGAGAGCAUCCUAAGUGACAUGGUUAUAUAGAAAGUGGCUGAGCUGAAGUCAAGCCAAGACCAGUUCUAAGGGAAAAAACUAGUGGAAGCUAAGAGUGAGGAGAAGCCAACCGAUAAUUGGGCAGUUAUUUGAAUGGGACCUUCAGGUUUCUGGACAGUUUUCAACUAUUAAAAGGUAAUUUGUUAGGGUUUUGAUAUAUUAUCUUGAAUUCCUUUCUUUGGUUUUUCUAUUCAUCAGGACCCCUUCCUGAAAAUAAAGAAGAUUAUCUAGAUAGUUAAUUGCCAGGUUUAAAAUACAAUUGGAGAGGAAGACCAGGUUUGAAGUUUGGGUAGUUAUUAAUAUUCAUAGCAAAUCUAAGGUUUCUGGAUUGUCUUGGAUUUCAGUAAAAUUCUAGUAAAUUUGCUCAUUUAGACAAUAACCUCAGUGAUUAAUGGGUCCAAUCACUUUUUCAACUGGAUUGAAUCUUCAGUCUAGUAAUUUUCCACAUAGGGUCCUCUGAAAGAAACAAUAGAAGAAAGAUUUCUUUAUAAUUUGAUCAUUAUGAAAUAGUCAAAUCCCCAGAGAAAAGCAGUCACCUGAAAUAUUAGUGCUUUUUGAAAGGUUCUUAUACCAUACAUAUCUCUAUAUGUAAACAGUUUAAGGAUGUGGAUUCCAUAUUUUUUUUAACUCUCAUGCAAAAUUGAAGUGGCUCAAAGUGUUAGCAUCACCGUCUAGAAACUUCCUGAAGGUGGCGCUCAAUGGUGAGACUGAGCAUCUGAACCAGCAAUUUCAGCAUCUGGAAAAAGUCAAGUCAAGUCCAGCCUUUUCUUCUUGACAGAGUUAAUUACCUUAAGUUAACGUACAGUGAAAGACUUCAUGGCACAAAAAAGAAUAACCAAAUUAUAAAAGGUAUAAUUUAAAGGCUUUGUCAAGAGCUGUGAUGAUCACACCCUAGAAGAUAGAAAUGUUCUGAAGUGGUACUGAUGCUCUGCGCUGGGAGUGUCUGAAGGAGGAACAAUGCCUGCAUUAGUGUUCAGGCUCUGGAGAGGAAAAAGCUUUUUGGUCUGCAAUUACUAGUCUGCUAGUCUCAUUUUAGAACACAUCUACUUGAUGCUUGCUAUUUUUUUUUCCACCACGCUUUUCUCCCUCUUAUUUCACGUGUACAUUAACAUGACUAAAAUAUGCUUUGCUGGGUGUUGAAGCUGCUGCCUGAUAGCAAGGCUCAGAUCCUCACUUUGCAGCAGCAUCCCCUUACCUUACACUGGGUCGGUGGAGCCCCAAAGUGCAAAACAUGCCCAUCUAGACCACUCCAAAGGCCAUCCAGUUUGGAUUUUCUGCCCUACUUCCUGAACCUGUCUCUUUAUGUGCAUCUCACUCAUUUUCUUCGAUUUGCUUCAUGAAUAAAGAGUACCUUCCAGAACAGGAGCUGCUAGCACUUUGUCUUCUAUCAUCUUGGUAGCAGCUGGCCUCCUUCUCUCAGUUUGAUGUCACCUCCAAUCCCAAGCCCCAGUACUUUACCACCUUGAGCUAAGAUGGGCAUGGAAUGAAUCUCCCCUGGCAUAUCCUCCUGCUUUUAGAGGGUCUCAGACCCUAAGCUAAAGUUGCUCUGGUUCUUGGCUUGAUUCCCUGAAGAUCAUGUUAAAUUCUACCAAGGAGAGCUCUUUUGAAGAAUAAAUUAAAUACCUACUUGGAGCACCCCAUCCCAGGUUUGAGAAGAAACUUCUGAUUAUCGUACUGUAACAGAGCAGGUCAGAGAGGCAUUUUUAUUUUAACAAAAGCAUUUCUUUCCCAGGCACAGUGGCUCAUGCCUGUAAUCCCAGUGAUUCAGGAGACUGAGGCAGGAGGAUGGAAAUGUAAAACUAGCUUCAGCAACUUAGUGAAACCCUGUCUCAAUAUAAAAAUUAAAAAGGACUGGGGAUAUGGCUAAGUGGCUAAGUGCCCCAGGGUUCAAACCCUGGAUGAGGAGGAGGAGGUCAAAAAUAUGUUUUCUUUUGUUAGAACUACCUCUUUCUUCACUCCCAACUCUUUCACUAUUCUAUUCCUCCAUCUCUCAUAUCCUGUCUUUUGGUAUUCUAAAUUCUAAAGAAAGCUCUCUGCAAUGUCCUUUCCUCUUCUGCAGUUUAAAAGAGAAUGUGUUUACCUAAAAGGAAGAAACAGAUGCUGGCCCCAGGAAGUCCUGGCUCCUUUUGGUAUGAUAAGGAGGUAACAGGGACUCUAAAAAGAGGUGAAACCUAUAAAAUUUCCCUCUUUUUUUCCCCAGUGUGCCCAUUCCCCCUUUAAAAAGAUUUUCUCACCCCAGAGACUUCCUAAGAUGGAAUUUUUCAAACAAAAAGUUUCUUCCUUCAAAGCUGACUUUGAAUAAAACCUAUUUUCCUACCAAUUUGACUCAGACUAUUUCUGAAGCAGGAAGUGGUGUAGCCUAAUCUCCUCACCAGAGCAGUAUUGGAGCCACCAGGUAAGAUUGUCAAAGACCUUCAACUAGGCUGAUCUAUAAAUGCAAAAAGGCAGCAAAGAUGAAGACUGAUAGAAUUGGAUUCCCAGUAAACAUUGGCCAAACUCACACCUUCCAUGGCUUCUAGAGCAACAGCUUCCUACAGGAAGGAGGAGGAUCUUUGUUUUCAUUCCAUCUCUGUGGCCUGACAGCCUGGCCUGAUGUUAUGGUUUAGAUGUGAGAUGUCCUCCUAAAGCUCAUGUAUGAAAUGAUGCAAGAAAGUUUAGAGGCAAAAUGAUUGGGUUAUAAGAGCCUUAACCUAAUCAGCACAUUGAACCCUGAUAGGGAUUAACUGGGUGGUAACUGUAGGCAUUCGGGGUGUGGUUAGAGGAGCUGGGUCACUGGGGGCAUGCCUUUGGGGUUUAUAUUUUGUCUGUGGUGAGGACAGUCUCUCUCUCUCUUUCUGCUUCAGGUUCCAAGUGCUGAGCUGCUUUCUCCUGCCACACCCAGUGCUUCUGCCAAAAUGUUCUGCCUCACCUGAGGCCCAGAGCAACGGAGUUGAUCAUCUAUGGACUAAGACCUCCCAAACUGCGGACCCCCACAUAAACUUGUCCUCCUCUAAUUGUUCUUGUUAGGUCUUUUGGUCACAGCAGGGAAAAGCUGACUAAAACCCCUACUUCCUACCACUUCCUACUUCCUCUAGAGGCUUACUUACCUCAGAGUCAGUCAUCCAUAAACUGGGCCCACUGUGCUGACCCCACAUGCUUUCUUUUUAAAAAGCAAUUUACCUGCACCCCUGCCUGGCCUAAGUCAAUAGACUAUGUUGCAUAAAAACUUUUAGGAGAAAUUCAGGAGAAAGGCUCAUCCCUGCCAAAAUGAAGAAUUCAAGUUACACUGAAGUAGGGGUUUCUGUGAUCCUUACACAGGAUCAGAUUCCAGAACUCAAGGAGAUUUGAUAGCUAGAACCAGUUAGCAUGGGCCAAAGUAACUCACAGUUGCCUUGGAUCUUUAGCAUGUCAACUCUCCCCUCCAUGGGGUAACACCAUGCACAGAAGAACCUGAGAGUGAUGCAGUCCUGCUGUCAGUCAAAAGUCAAGAGGUAGGCCUGGUGGGACUCUAUAGAAACUUCCCUGGUGUUAGAGGGAUAGACACAUGAGAAUGGUGGGAACACAAAGUUAAGAGAACAAUGACAUAAAAUAGACCCACAGUGCUGACCCCCUCAGGCUUUCUUUGCCAAAAAGCGAUUUGCCUGCAGACCUGCCUGGCCUAAAUGGACAGGAUAUGUCACAUUCCUCAACAAACUACCUGUUUUCUGCCAGGAAAUGCAGGCAGGAAAUAACAUUUAUAAGAGGAACCCAAGUUACUUUGAAAGGAGAGAUAUUUGUGACCCUUUUCACAGACCGGAUUCCAGAAGAUAAGGAUAAGUCCUCCCCACCAUAAAACUUGUAAAAAUGGUUAAGAAUCCAAUUAGACUCAGUCAGCAUGGGCCAAGGUGACAUAGAGUUGUCAUUGGCAACAGGGACUUGAAAGUGUGAUGUUACCCUGCUGUCGGUCAGAAGUCAUGAGGUUGACCUGGGCAGGACUCUCUGGGAUCCCCAAUAAAACUGGAUUGCAGGAGAGACACAUUGUCUC